rnacentral:rRNA from 1 species
CCUACGGGUGGCUGCAGUCGAGAAUCAUUCACAAUGGGGGAAACCCUGAUGGUGCGACGUCGCGUGGGGGAAUGAAGGUCUUCGGAUUGUAAACCUCUGUCAUGUGGGAGCAAAUCAAAAAGAUAGUACCACAAGAGGAAGAGACGGCUAACUCUGUGCCAGCAGCCGCGGUAAUACAGAGGUCUCAAGCGUUUGUCGGAAUCACUGGGCGUAAAGGGUGCGUAGGCUGUUUCGUAAGUCAUGUGUGAAAGGCGCCGGAUCAACCCGAGGACGGCACAUGAUACUGCGAGACUAGAGUAAUGGAGGGGGAACCGGAAUUCUCGGUGUAGCAGUGAAAUGCGUAGAUAUCGAGAGGAACCCUCGUGGCGAAGGCGGGUUCCUGGACAUUAACUGACGCUGAGGCACGAAGGCCAGGGGAGCGAAAGGGAUUAGAUACCCUUGUAGUC